GUGCUCGCUUCAGCAGCAUAUAUACUAAAAUUGGAAUGAUACAGAGAAGAUUAGCUUGGCCCCUGUGCAAGGGUGACACGCAAAUUCAUGAAGUGUUCCAUAUUUUU
rnacentral:snRNA from 1 species